rnacentral:rRNA from 1 species
UAAUACGUAGGCAGCAAGCGUUGUUCGGAGUUACUGGGCGUAAAGGGUGUGUAGGCGGUUCCCUAAGUUUGGUGUGAAAUCUCCCGGCUCAACUGGGAGGGUGCGCCGAAAACUGGGGGGCUAGAGUACUGGAUGGGAGAGUGGAAUUCCUGGUGUAGCGGUGAAAUGCGUAGAUAUCAGGAGGAACACCUGUGGUGUAGACGGCUCUCUGGACAGUAACUGACGCUGAGACACGAAAGCGUGGGUAGCAAACAGGAUUAGAUACCCUGGUAGUCCACGCCCUAAACGAUGCAUAUUUGGUGUGGGUCAUUCAUUUGAUCCGUGCCGGAGCUAACGCGUUAAAUAUGCCGCCUGGGGAGUACGGUCGCAAGGCUG